ensembl:lncRNA
CAGGUCUAUAACAGUUAGACAGGUCUAUAACAGAGAGAGUUAGACAGGUCUAUAACAGAGAGAGUUAGACAGGUCUAUAACAGAGGGAGUGGACUGUGGAUUGGUUCCAGUCCAGUGUAGUGGUCCUAUCCUCUCCGCUCUGUGCUGGGCCACAGUGGUUCAUCUGGGCCCUGGAAUGUGUUAGGCAGCUCAGCACAGCCAGUCACCAGGCUAAUGAUUAACAAGGAGCCAGGCCGCUCCGCUCACUGCGCCACAGAUCAGGAGCUCUGCUCUCUCUCUCGCCACAACAAUGCUGUCCAACAGGUCAGACCUCCUCCUUCCCUCCCUCCUUCUCUCCCUCCUCCCUCUCUCCCUCCCUCCCCUCCUUCCUUCCUUCCUUC